AGAAUCAACGCUGGCGGCGUGCCUAACACAUGCAAGUCGAACGAGAAAGUGGAGCAAUCCAUGAGUAAAGUGGCGCACGGGUGAGUAACACGUGACUAACCUGCCUUUUAGUGGGGGAUAACCUAGGGAAACCUGGGCUAAUACCGCAUAAUACCUACGGGUCAAAGCAGCAAUGCGCUGGAAGAGGGGGUCGCGGUCGAUUAGUUAGUUGGCAGGGUAAUGGCCUACCAAGACUGUGAUCGAUA
rnacentral:rRNA from 1 species